rnacentral:rRNA from 1 species
AAAUGAAUAGACGGGGACCCGCACAAGCAGCGGAGCAUGUGGUUUAAUUCGAAGCAACGCGAAGAACCUUACCAGGUCUUGACAUCCCGUUGUAAAGCACUUAAUCGUGCUCCUCUCUUCGGAGACAAUGGAGACAGGUGGUGCAUGGUUGUCGUCAGCUCGUGUCGUGAGAUGUUGGGUUAAGUCCCGCAACGAGCGCAACCCUUGUCAUUAGUUGCCAUCAGGUAAAGCUGGGCACUCUAGUGAGACUGCCGUGGACAACACGGAGGAAGGUGGGGAUGACGUCAAAUCAUCAUGCCCCUUAUGAUCUGGGCUACACACGUGCUACAAUGGCCGGUACAGAGGGAAGCGAAGGAGCGAUCUGGAGCGAAUCUCCAAAGCCGGUCCCAGUUCGGAUUGCAGGCUGCAACUCGCCUGCAUGAAGUCGGAGUUGCUAGUAAUCGCGAAUCAGAAUGUCGCGGUGAAUGCGUUCCCGGGUCUUGUACACACCGCCCGU